UCCAGCCCUCUGGCAAAAUGGUAACUGUGAAAAUGGAGGCCCACAAGCAGUCAUGAGAGGGCUCUGUGGGGUUCCCUGACCAGCCCCCUGCCAUGGAGUAAUGGUCUCAGUUUUCUCUUAAGAAAGAAUAUGUGUCUCAAGUCCAACCGACCGUAAACCAGAGGUUGGUUUAGAGUGGGCACAUGAUCCAGGCCCAGCCAAUCAGAGUCUAAGAUUCGACACAGGGGUGGGCAAAUGAGCCAGAGUCAGCCAAUGAAGCUCAGGCCCGGGACUUUUGUUGCAUUUACCAGGAAAAAAAGGCAUUUCGUCUUUUUUUCCUCUCCACUGGGACUCUCAGAGACUGGGAAGAUGUAAGCCUGGAGCUGUGAUGGGGAAGGACCUGCUGAGAGAGAAGCCAGCACUGAGGAAAGCAGACCGGAGAGGCAGUCGGGUCCUGGAGGCAUCAUUUGAUACCUGGAUCCAGCCAUACCUGACAUUAUUCUACCCUGAGCCUCUCAGUUACAUAACCCAGAAAUUUCCUUUUACUUUUGCUCACACUAGUUUGCAGUGGCAUUUGUGGCACUUGCAACUAGACCAAUCUUGGCUGCCUCGCGGGGCUGGGCAGUUGGCAAAUGAGGAAAUGGAGGCUUAAGAAAGGAGCUUGCCUGUCCAAGUGUGCACUGUGGGACAGAGAAUGACUGUGUUGGAAGUGAAGGCUCUGAAGAGUACCUUCUUGGGGUCCAGAUACAGGGGGACAAUUGAGUGGGACUUGGAGCGCCAGGGAUACACCAAAGAGCGGACAACUACCCUGCACUCUGUUUUCAUAUUCAAGUGUCCGUGAGGGUGUAUCUGCCGCGGGUUGUUAACUCCUCGAAACGGCGCCUGCAAGUGUGAAAACGUGAACUCGCGGUUCGUGGCCUCAGUAAAGUUGGAGGGAGAGAGUCCACACGAGGGAAACCAUACAGUGUUUGUCUUGCUCCUUCUGACUCGCUAAACGAGGCUUCACAUGGAUCUGCAGAACCAUCCAGAAUGGGGCACCACACAGAGUGACUGCUUCUUGCUUACAAUGUGGCCGUCCAUCACAUGGUCUCCACCCCAGACCUCCCUGAUAAACUCAGAUCCUGCUGCCUCCUGGGGCUCCUGGGGAGAAUACCGAAGACAAUGUAUCAGCCAGGGCCACCCAAACUCCAGGCGCAGACUGGAAAGUGUGAAGAAACCGAAAAAUUGAGCCACAGCGCCCCCUGGUGCUCGCAGCGCUCACCUGCUUAAGCGACAUCCCCCCCGGAAAGCGAGUUUAAAUAUUAAACUGUGAAACUAUCUCCCUCCCACUCCGGCUCGGCCAGUUAAAAGGCUUCCCUGCCGAGGCCUGGCGGGGAGCCGGGCCUCCAGGGCGGGCGUCUCACCGCCACCCCGCACCCCACUCCCUCGACGGACCCUGUGCAUCUUCCCGCCCUGUUGGGAGUUUCGUGUAAAUCCUAGAAGUAGAAUUGCGGGGUCAGAGUGUUCAGCGCUUCUCCAAGGCCCCACCUGCAAAACUGCGUGGGCGAUU